rnacentral:rRNA from 1 species
UGGGGAAUUUUGCACAAUGGGGGAAACCCUGAUGCAGCGACGCCGCGUGAUUUAGAAGGCCUUCGGGUUGUAAAAAUCUUUUUUAUGGGAUGAAAAUGACAGUACCAUAAGAAUAAGGUCCGGCUAACUACGUGCCAGCAGCCGCGGUAAUACGUAGGGGGCUAGCGUUGUCCGGAAUCACUGGGCGUAAAGGGUUCGCAGGCGGAAAUGCAAGUCAGGUGUAAAAGGCAGUAGCUUAACUACUGUAAGCAUUUGAAACUGCAUAUCUUGAGAAGAGUAGAGGUAAGUGGAAUUUUUAGUGUAGCGGUGAAAUGCGUAGAUAUUAAAAAGAAUACCGGUGGCGAAGGCGACUUACUGGGCUCAUUCUGACGCUGAGGAACGAAAGCGUGGGUAGCAAACAGG